rnacentral:lncRNA from 1 species
AUUUUCAGACUCAGCAGGCAGCAGGCUAAAUCUGUCCGCUGAUGGGCAGGCAUGAAUUAUGAAACCACUCACGCAGGUUGAGAGGUUGCCCUGAGCUGGGGAGGUGCUGCCACCAGUAUCUGCUCAAGGUGGUGGGGGGAUGGGUUGCUCCCCACUCAGGAGGGAAGGGGGAAUGUGAACAGGUGAGUGGCCACAGUGGAGGUGUGACCCGCAGACAGCGGGACCAACGGGGGCUUCCCAAAUCCUGGGCCCUCAGACUGCACGAUCAGAAGAGGGGGAAAAAACCCACGUGACAGGUCCGGCUUCCCGAGGAUGGAGGGUGAGGCUGCCCCCUAGUGGCUGAAGUUUACAACUGGGCGUACGUUCAAGGAGUCCCAGGGAAUCCGAUGCCUUCUCCCAUAAGGUGGGCUGUGCAGGCUGGAGGUGCCCCAGUGUCAGACUGAAGGCUGGAAGCCAACGUCCAUUCAUCAAGGUGACGGAACUCUGAGGGCUGGAGGGGAUGUUAAAACACUGAGGGUCAGAACACUUGUUCUCAUCAACAUCAGCAUCGGCCUUAUUGUCACCACCAUCAACAUUGUCAGCAUCACCAUCGUCAGCAGCAGCAUCAAUAUCACCAUCAUCAGGAUCACCAUUAUCAUCAUCAGCAGCAUCAGCAGCAUCAGCAGCAUCAGCACCAUCAGCAUCAGCAUCAUCAGCAUCAUCAGCACCAUUAUCAGCAGCAGCAUCACCAUCUAACAUUUCAAGGCAUUGGGCUGAUUACUUUACAUGCAUUGUCUUAUUUGUUCCCAACAAUGACAGCCCCCAAAGUUAAGUAUUAUUAUUGUUAAUAUCCUCAUUUACAGAUGUGUAAACUGAAACUUAAGAGAGAUUAAGCAACUUGCUUAGGGCCACAGAGCUAUGUUAAGUGUAAUUUUCAAAGAUGUAAAUCACAGUUCUCAGGUAAAUAUAAGAUGAUAUCAUGUCAAAGAUUUUAUUAAACUCAACAAGCAAUAAGAGAACCAAUAAGAAGUUAAAACUUAUCCAAAGAGCAUUAGAGAAUUUAGAUAUAUGCAGCAAUUUAACAGCAACAAAAAUAAGGCAAAUGUGGUAUGCUAAGUAACGUUCCCUCUGCAAAACAAACAACAAACAAACUCUAUCCUGAUACCUGGAAUUUGUGAAUAUGUUACUUGUGUUACUUUACAAGUAAAAAGGACUUUACAGAUGUGAUUAAAUUACAGGUUUUGAGAUGGGGAGAUUAUUCUGGAUGAUCUG